rnacentral:rRNA from 1 species
GACGAACGCUGGCGGUGUGCUUAACACAUGCAAGUCGAACGGAAAGGCCCUGCUUUUGUGGGGUGCUCGAGUGGCGAACGGGUGAGUAACACGUGAGUAACCUGCCCUUGACUUUGGGAUAACUUCAGGAAACUGGGGCUAAUCCCGGAUAGGAGCUCCUGCUGCAUGGUGGGGGUUGGAAAGUUUCGGCGGUCGGGGCUGGAUUAGCGGCUUAUCAGCUUGUUGGUGGGGGAGUGGCUUACCAAGGCUUUGACGGGUAGCCGGCCUGGGAGGGUGAACGGGGACAUUAGGACUAAGGUACGGCGCAGACUCCUACGGUGGGCAGCGGGGGCAAGUCUUGCACAGUGAGAGGGAGCCUGAUGCAGAGACGCCGGGUGCGGGAUGACGGCCUGCGGGUUAUAAACCGCUUUCGCCUGUGACGAAGCGGGAGUGACGGUAAUGAGUAAAGAAGCACCGGCUAACUACGUG